GUAAAUAUGCCUCUAACCUACCSCUGACGGGGGUCUGACAUCCCAGUGAGCAAGUCUCCAAGGACCUGGGAGCCUCUUGCACCUGCAAACAAGGGAAGGAGCUGUCAGGGAGCAGCGAAAGGGGGGCUGCUCCACGAGGGAGGACGAGCCGGGAGCCGAGAGCGACCACAGCCUCAAUGGGGCAGUGAGUGACCUCCCUGGGCAGGGCACAGUCCCACGGCACCCGAGCAGGACAGCCAUCGUGGUAAUAACAGCUUUCAUUGCCUGUCCAGGGGUCAUCAGAUGAGGCAAGGUAACGAGUCAGGUUGUUUCCAUCCAGAACGUCCGGUCAGGGCAGCAGGAGACAGCACUACCAGCAGCAUAGGUGCAGGAGACAGGACUGGACACAGGUACACCUACAGCGUAGCUCAGGCGAGGAUGGGGGGCCGGGCCCGGGUGCAGAUGGGGGUCCUGGACCAUGGAGCAGAGGGUGUCUGGAUGGAGGUCCCCAGUGAGGCUGGCCAGGGCAAUUAGGGUCUGUUGGUGCCCUGACAGGAACCUCCACUGGCCACUUUUGGGGAGAGAGGGGUCUGGCUUCAUCCUGCCUGUUACACACAGUCACAGUCUCAUUCGGGUUGGACAGGACUGUAGGAGGUCUCUAGUCCAAACUGCUYGGAGCAGGGUCGGCUGUGGGGUCAGGCCAGGUUGCUCAGGGCUUUAUCCAGUCGAGUCUUGGAAACCGCUGAGGACCGAGACUGCAUGAUGUCUCUGGCACCCUGUUCUGAUGCUUCACUGCCCUUGUGAUGAAAAAAUUUUCCUUGUAUCCAGCCAGAGCCUUUCUUGUUUCAGUUUUUGUCUGUUCUCUCAUUCUCCUGCCAUACGCCUCAGCAUACGCCUCAGCAAAGAGCCUGGUAUUGUCGUCUUGGUAACCUCUUUGUGGGUGCUGCUAUGAGAUCCCCCCAAGACCUUCAUUCUCCAGGUUGAACAAGAUGGUUUUAUUUGCAGCCUCUGAUCAUGGGGCAUGUGCUCCAGUCCCUGACCAUCUUGGUGGCUCUCUGCUGGACUUGCUGCAGUUUAUCAACGUUUCAAUGAUGCCCUUUGGCCAAGGAAGGAGAAGGGAGAGCGAGCAGAGAGGAGUGUCUGGACCAAGCAGUGUUUCUGGAUGCAGAUGGCAAUACAGAUCAUCAUGGCCAUCUUCCUCACAUCCCACUUGUUCUUCUCCUGACACAUCCUGUGCUACUCCCCAGUUUGGGAAUACUAGUACUCAGGUUCCGGCUCCACUUUGCGCUGCUUCUGAAAAAACAGCAGGAUGUGUUAUUGCAGACYUCGCAGACACCUGAAGCCUGGUGGGAAGUAGCCUGAGAUGGAAAACAGCAUAGCUUUGACCSCCACAUCAUUACAUUUUAGUGUAAUACCUCUUCCUUCUAGAAAGCAUUCUCCAGCUGAGAUAUUUCUCAUCCUUGAUUUGGGGGUUCUCUGAGGCAAGAAGGGAAUCCUUUGGUUUACAGCAUGGAGCUGGUUGAGAGCCCUGUAGGUGAGACUGAAUCACAGCUGAAAGGUGUCUCCAGGGGUCGCUUGGAUUUUGUCCUGCCGUUCUGCCACUUUGCCACUGCCCAGUCCCUCUGCCACCUUGUUCUACCAGAGCGGCGCAGUCCAGUGCAAGACUGAAAGAUGCUCCGGUGCUGGCCUGUGCUGCCCUGCUGUAGAAAGCCUGUGUGUGUCUGAAGCAAACACCAAGCAGGAGUAAAAUGACGGGGGGAGUGUUCUUCUAGCCCCAGAUUCACCCUGUCUGAUGCUCUGCUCAAGCCAGAGUUGUUGMUGUAAAAGCCUGAGUCGCAACUAGGACUCCUGCCUGCUGCUGCCAUUAUUCUUUUUCUAUCUGCUCAGUGCUGUGAUAAAGCACACUUCCUCUACAUUUGACUCAACUCUGAUUCCUUGGCUUGCAUUUCUUAACAAAUCAGCAGACAGUCUGGGAAAUGCUUUGCUUCCAAAGUUAGCUGCACUCAGCCCWAGGAGCUACAAACAAACAAUAAAAGAUGGUUUUAUUUGCA
ensembl:lncRNA